AUUGAACGCUGGCGACAGGCUUAACACAUGCAAGUCGAGCGGAGAUGAGGUGCUUGCACCUUAUCUUAGCGGCGGACGGGUGAGUAAUGCUUAGGAAUCUGCCUAUUAGUGGGGGACAACAUUCCGAAAGGAAUGCUAAUACCGCAUACGUCCUACGGGAGAAAGCAGGGGAUCUUCGGACCUUGCGCUAAUAGAUGAGCCUAAGUCGGAUUAGCUAGUUGGUGGGGUAAAGGCCUACCAAGGCGACGAUCUGUAGCGGGUCUGAGAGGAUGAUCCGCCACACUGGGACUGGGACACGGCCCAGACUCCUACGGGAGGCAGCAGUGGGGAAUAUUGGACAAUGGGAGGAACCCUGAUCCAGCCAUGCCGCGUGUGUGAAGAAGGCCUUAUGGUUGUAAAGCACUUUAAGCGAGGAGGAGGCUACUGAGACUAAUACUCUUGGAUAGUGGACGUUACUCGCAGAAUAAGCACCGGCUAACUCUGUGCCAGCCGCCGCCGUAAGAC
rnacentral:rRNA from 1 species